UACGGGGGGGGCAAGCGUUGUUCGGAAUUACUGGGCGUAAAGGGCGAGUAGGUGGCCAUCUAAGUCAGACGUGAAAUCCCCCGGCUUAACCUGGGAACUGCGUCUGAUACUGGACGGCUAGAGUAUGGGAGAGGGAUGUAGAAUUCCAGGUGUAGCGGUGAAAUGCGUAGAUAUCUGGAGGAACACCGGUGGCGAAGGCGGCAUCCUGGACCGGCAUUGACGCUGAGGCGCGAAAGCCAGGGGAGCAAACGGG
rnacentral:rRNA from 1 species